CUCCUGAGUACCUUAAGAAGGGGAUGGAGAUAGCUAGCAUGAAGAGGUUGUCCCUUAGCAUUGAAGUUAUACUCCUUGAAUUCCAACUCUUGCCAGCUGCAUAUUUUCUCGAGUCAAGUCAGUAGCGAAAAUCUUCCUUUUGGAAGCAUAUGUAGGACCUUUCUCAACAUCAGAAUAUCCCGUCCAUCCCCUAAUAAGUAAGGAAAGGAGGUAAGCUUUAAAAACAAUGUCUCCCAAAAGAUAAAACAAUUUACAAAAAAGGAAAAGCGCAGGUAGUUACUUUGUUACUAAGAGUUUCCUGGUUUUGAGAGAGUUUGAGACUUUCUUUGUCAAGUUCCUGAAAGCAAGAAAGGCCAACUUAGUCUCUUAAAUUAUAAAAAGCUGGAUUAGAUUUCUACAUAAUAGUUCUGAUUAAACAAACCAGUCCUUGUUGUAUUUGUAGAAGAGACUCCUUCACUUUAUCUUCAACAUGUUGAACCUAAAACAAAAGAUUACAAAGUCAACAUGAUGAAUAAAAAGAAGCCAAGACAAUUCAAUUCAAUACCUUCCUAGAGACUUGCUUUCCCAUUGCAACCCACCUCUUUUUAGCAGCUUGUGUGCUUCCAAUUUUGAAAACA